rnacentral:rRNA from 1 species
AUUGAACGCUGGCGGCAGGCCUAACACAUGCAAGUCGAGCGAGCGGCGGACGGGUGAGUAAUGUCUGGGGAACUGCCCGAUGGAGGGGGAUAACUACUGGAAACGGUAGCUAAUACCGCAUACUAUCGGAUGUACCCAUAUGGGAUUAGCUAGUAGGUGGGGUAAAGGCUCACCUAGGCGACGAUCCCUAGCUGGUCUGAGAGGAUGACCAGCCACACGGGAACUGAGACACGGCCCAGACUCCUACGGGAGGCAGCAGUGGGGAAUAUUGCACAAUGGGCGCAAGCCUGAUGCAGCCAUGCCGCGUGUAUGAAGAAGGCCUUAGGGUUGUAAAGUACUUUCAGCGGGGAGGCGUUACCCGCAGAAGAAGCACCGGCUAACUCCGUGCCAGCAGCCGCGGUAAUUC